rnacentral:lncRNA from 1 species
UCUGUGGCAUAGGGGUAGGAUAAAAGAAGCCUGUGCUGACUCAGCACUUGCCAGUAAAAGUUAUUUUUCAGGAGAGAUGGGAGCAGGAUAAAAAGAGAUGGUUUUAAUCCUCUACUUCCCCUGUAGCAGGUGCUUGCUCAUGAAGCUUACACAGAACUCAUGUGACCACGAAGCCAAGGUGGCCGAGAGAAGGCAGCUUCCUGGAAUCUCAGCCUUCCACCAGGCCAGGAGCCAGUCUGCUGCUUCUGUCUGCCUGUACCAAGCAUCUCCCUCAGAGGGAGGAGCCAUGGCCCCAGAAGAUGCUAAGCACUAAAGGAGGCCAUAUGCUUCUACCUUACCAGGUUUUCCGAUGCCCGUGGAGGUCAGAAGAGGGUACCGGACCAAUGGAAUUCAGGUGGCUGUGGUGAGCGCUGUGGGUUGUGAGAACUGAACCUGGGUCCUCUGUAAGAAGGACAAGAGCUCAUGACUGCUUAUCUUCUCUCUGGCCCCUCAUUUUACCUUCACGGGGUCUUGCGUGGCCCAGCCUCACCUCUGAGCUGCUGCUCAGAGAAGGUGGUGGAGAGACUUCAAAGAAUGAAACAAGAUGGCGUGACCCCGGGCCCUUUGAAACUGAGCCAGACCUGGAAUCCAGCCCCUGCCUGCUUUCUUCUGCACUGAAGAAUAAGGACCUUCUAAGCCUUGUGUAUCCGCUCUUCCUUAGCCUGGGAUCGGGGGUUCAAGACCAUUCUCGCCCACUACACAGCAUGUGUGGAGCUGGGCUGGUCACGUGAGAACCCUGCCUUAAUUAAUUAAUUAAUUAAUUAAUGAGUUU